AGUGAACGCUGGCGGUAGGCCUAACACAUGCAAGUCGAACGGCAGCACAGUAAGAGCUUGCUCUUACGGGUGGCGAGUGGCGGACGGGUGAGGAAUACAUCGGAAUCUACUUUUUCGUGGGGGAUAACGUAGGGAAACUUACGCUAAUACCGCAUACGACCUACGGGUGAAAGCAGGGGAUAUUCAGACCUUGCGCGAUUGAAUGAGCCGAUGUCGGAUUAACUAGUUGGCGGGGUAAAGGCCCACCAAGGAGACGUUCCUUAGCUGGUCUGAGAGGAAGAGCAGCCACACUGGACCUGGACCCCGGUCCAGCCUCCUCCGGGAGGCACCAUUGGGGAAUAUUGGACAAUGGGGGCAAUCCUGAUCCAGCCAUACCGCGUGGUUGAAGAAGGCUUUCGGGUUUUAAAGCCCUUUUGUUGGGAAAGAAAAGCAGCAGGUUAAUACCCCGCUGUUCUGACGGUACCCAAAGAAUAAGCACCGGCUAACUUCGUG
rnacentral:rRNA from 1 species